rnacentral:rRNA from 1 species
AGAGUUUGAUCCUGGCUCAGGAUGAACGCUGGCGGCGUGCCUAAUACAUGCAAGUCGAGCGAACAGACGAGGAGCUUGCUCCUCUGACGUUAGCGGCGGACGGGUGAGUAACACGUGGAUAACCUACCUAUAAGACUGGGAUAACUUCGGGAAACCGGAGCUAAUACCGGAUAAUAUAUUGAACCGCAUGGUUCAAUAGUGAAAGACGGUUUUGCUGUCACUUAUAGAUGGAUCCGCGCUGCAUUAGCUAGUUGGUAAGGUAACGGCUUACCAAGGCAACGAUGCAUAGCCGACCUGAGAGGGUGAUCGGCCACACUGGAACUGAGACACGGUCCAGACUCCUACGGGAGGCAGCAGUAGGGAAUCUUCCGCAAUGGGCGAAAGCCUGACGGAGCAACGCCGCGUGAGUGAUGAAGGUCUUCGGAUCGUAAAACUCUGUUAUUAGGGAAGAACAUAUGUGUAAGUAACUGUGCACAUCUUGACGGUACCUAAUCAGAAAGCCACGGCUAACUACGUGCCAGCAGCCGCGGUAAUACGUAGGUGGCAAGCGUUAUCCGGAAUUAUUGGGCGUAAAGCGCGCGUAGGCGGUUUUUUAAGUCUGAUGUGAAAGCCCACGGCUCAACCGUGGAGGGUCAUUGGAAACUGGAAAACUUGAGUGCAGAAGAGGAAAGUGGAAUUCCAUGUGUAGCGGUGAAAUGCGCAGAGAUAUGGAGGAACACCAGUGGCGAAGGCGACUUUCUGGUCUGUAACUGACGCUGAUGUGCGAAAGCGUGGGGAUCAAACAGGAUUAGAUACCCUGGUAGUCCACGCCGUAAACGAUGAGUGCUAAGUGUUAGGGGGUUUCCGCCCCUUAGUGCUGCAGCUAACGCAUUAAGCACUCCGCCUGGGGAGUACGACCGCAAGGUUGAAACUCAAAGGAAUUGACGGGGACCCGCACAAGCGGUGGAGCAUGUGGUUUAAUUCGAAGCAACGCGAAGAACCUUACCAAAUCUUGACAUCCUUUGACAACUCUAGAGAUAGAGCCUUCCCCUUCGGGGGACAAAGUGACAGGUGGUGCAUGGUUGUCGUCAGCUCGUGUCGUGAGAUGUUGGGUUAAGUCCCGCAACGAGCGCAACCC